UGUCUCAUUGUCUCCCCUAGCUGUGUGUAUUUAAGUCUGUGUCCUCCUGUGCUCUAUAUCAGAUCAUCAUGGAAUCUGGUCUCUUGUGGCCUGGUCUUUGACAUACUUGUAUUGUUGGAUUUUGGUUUCCCCCUUCCUUGGACUGAUUUGUCUGUUUGGACUGCUCACCUGGUUUGCUGAUCCCUGCCUGCUGGACUUCUUCUAGAAUUGAGCAGUCAUUGGACAUCACCUCCAGACGGUUUCCCUGCCUGCUAGUUUUCCAUAUGUACCUCAGCCUGUUCCUUUUCUGGAGAACCUUCCAGAGGGAAGUGUGGCUCCUGCCAACAUCAUGCCUCACCGCUGCUCGUCAUCACUGCGUCCAGACUCUCAAAGCUGUCAUCUGUCCUUCCUGGUCUCUGGUCCGGCUGAAUCCUGCUCCUAUCUCUCCAUUGGUGGACCAGCCGACACCAGUUUCUGGUGUCCAGUUGGCAACCUGUCCCUGCUGGAUCACAGCUACAGCAGCUUUCUGACCUCUUGAGCCACAGCGGCCACCAGUUCCUCAGUUGCAGUCCACUCCUGUCUCUGCGGAGAUAAAGCUGAAUCCAGCACCUGAACUGCUGCAAGCUCCUGUUCCUAUGGACCUUCAGCAGUCUCGUGACCCUGCUGAAAUCACCGGCUCCUGAACUGCUACAGUCACCAGAUCCUGCUAAGCCUCUCCAAUCUGAGUAGUUCUGCACAUCGGGUCAGCCCUGCCUCCUGGUCGCCCUCCUGACUGGCUCUGCUCUUCUGUCCAGCCCUCAAGCUGUCCACCUGAGGUUCAAGCACCGUUUCAGUCCUCGCCCCAGGUUGUCCUUUAGCUUGGCCCUUGCCUGCCUGCCUUUCCCUGUAAGCUAGUGAACUUUAACUUUUGUCUGCACCUGCUCUGCCUCCUUAGUCUGCAUUUUGGGUUCUGUUUCCUAUUACACUCCUGCUUGACACCAGAAACGUGUGUUUUGAGGUCAUGGUAAAUGUCAAAUGUAUUUAAUUUUUUUUUUAUUAGCCAAUCGGAGGUUUAUGAUCCACUGUCACCCUAAAAGUAAUCUCACCAAUAUGCUGCCUGAA